rnacentral:sRNA from 1 species
ACAAGCCAGAUAUAAUGAAGCCAAGAAAACGCUGACAGAGCUGAAGACUUACAGUGAGAAACUGGACAAAGAGCAAGCAGCCCUCGAGAAGAUAGAAUCCAAAGCUGAUCCAAGUAUCCUACAGAACCUGAGAGCACUUGUAGCCAUGAAUGAAAAUCUAAAAAGUCAAGAACAGGAAUUUAAAGCACAUUGUCGAGUAAGUGUUGUUUGGUGUCAGCAAAUAAACCAGGACUCUUAUUGAAUCUCUUGGUUUACCUCCGUUGUCCUG